rnacentral:piRNA from 1 species
UAAUAACUAUCACUGCUCUCUGUCUCC